AUUGAACGCUGGCGGCAUGCUUUACACAUGCAAGUCGAACGGCAGCGCGGGCUUCGGCCUGGCGGCGAGUGGCGAACGGGUGAGUAAUACAUCGGAACGUGCCCAGUAGUGGGGGAUAGCUCGGCGAAAGCCGGAUUAAUACCGCAUACGACCUGAGGGUGAAAGCGGGGGAUCUUCGGACCUCGCGCUAUUGGAGCGGACGAAGGCAGAUUAGCUAGUUGGUGGGGUAAAGGCCUACCAAGGCGACGAUCUGUAGCUGGUCUGAGAGGACGACCAGCCACACUGGGACUGAGACACGGCCCAGACUCCUACGGGAGGCAGCAGUGGGGAAUUUUGGACAAUGGGCGAAAGCCUGAUCCAGCAAUGCCGCGUGUGUGAUGAAGGCCUUCGGGUUGUAAAGCACUUUUGGCGGGAACGAAAAGGACUGUGCCAAUACCACGGUUCGAUGACGGUACCCGCAGAAUAAGCACCGGCUAACUACGUG
rnacentral:rRNA from 1 species